AAUCAACGCUGGCGGCGUGCCUAACACAUGCAAGUCGAACGCGAAAACCCCGCAAGGGGUUAGUAGAGUGGCAAACGGGUGAGUAACACGUGGGUGACCUGCCUUCGAGUGGGGGAUAACGUCCCGAAAGGGACGCUAAUACCGCAUAACAUCCUGCCUUUGAAGAGGUGGAGAUCAAAGCUGGGGACCGCAAGGCCUAGCGCUCAAAGGAGGGGCCCGCGCCUGAUUAGCUAGUUGGUGGGGUAAGGCUCACCAAGGCAACGAUCAGUAUCCGGCCUGAGAGGGCGGACGGACACACUGGGACUGAGACACGGCCCAGACUCCUACGGGAGGCAGCAGUGGGGAAUUGUUCGCAAUGGGCGCAAGCCUGACGACGCAACGCCGCGUGGAGGAUGAAGG
rnacentral:rRNA from 1 species